UCUCCUGUACAGGUGUUUGGAUGAGUGACAAUGUGUCUCCUGUACAGGUGUUAGGAUGAGUCACAAUGUGUCUCCUGUACAGGUGUUUGGACGAGUCACAAUGUGUCUCCUGUACGGGUGUUUGGACGAGUGACAAUGUGUCUCCUGUGUAGGUGUUUGGACGAGUGACAAUGUGUCUCCUGUACAGGUGUUUGGAUGAGCGACAAUGUGUCUCCUGUACAGGUGUUUGGAUGAGUGACAAUGUGUCUCCUGUACAGGUGUUUGGAUGAGUGACAAUGUGUCUCCUGUACAGGUGUUUGGAUGAGUGACAAUGUAUCACCUGUACAGGUGUUAGGAUGAGUGACAAUGUGUCUCCUGUACAGGUGUUUGGACGAGUGACAAUGUGUCUCCUGUACAGGUGUUUGGACGAGUGACAAUGUGUCUCCUGUACAGGUGUUUGGACGAGUGACAAUGUGUCUCCUGUACAGGUGUUUGGACGAGUGACAAUGUGUCUCCUGUACAGGUGUUUGGACGAGUGACAAUGUGUCUCCUGUACAGGUGUUUAGACGAGUGACAAUGUGUCUCCUGUACAGGUGUUUGGAUGAGUGACAAUGUGUCUCCUGUACAGGUGUUAGGAUGAGUCACAAUGUGUCCCCUGUACAGGUGUUUGGACGAGUCACAAUGUGUCUCCUGUAUGGGUGUUUGGACGAGUGACAAUGUGUCUCCUGUGUAGGUGUUUGGACGAGUGACAAUGUGUCUCCUGUACAGGUGUUUGGAUGAGCGACAAUGUGUCUCCUGUACAGGUGUUUGGAUGAGUGGCAAUGUGUCUCCUGUACAGGUGUUUGGAUGAGUGACAAUGUGUCUCCUGUACAGGUGUUUGGAUGAGUGACAAUGUAUCACCUGUACAGGUGUUAGGAUGAGUGACAAUGUGUCUCCUGUACAGGUGUUUGGACGAGUGACAAUGUGUCUCCUGUACAGGUGUUUGGAUGAGUGACAAUGUGUCUCCUGUACAGGUGUUUGGACGAGUGACAAUGUGUCUCCUGUACAGGUGUUUGGACGAGUGACAAUGUGUCUCCUGUACAGGUGUUUGGACGAGUGACAAUGUGUCUCCUGUACAGGUGUUUGGACGAGUGACAAGGAAAGUGCAAGUGAAUUCAUUUUAAUAUCCGUCUUUGUACUUCCAUAGCAUUUUAUUUGUCGAAUUGUGCUAGACUGAAUGAUAUUUUUACCUGUUUUAUUGUUUACAAAUAAACACAAUAAACUAUCA